rnacentral:rRNA from 1 species
AAAUAGAACUUUGCAGAGAGAGUUAAGAGGGCGUGAACCGUUGAUUGGCAACGAAUCGGAGCCACGAAGUCGUUUCGUCGUUAGUUGGGCGGAGUUCAGUCUGUGUCGCUCACGCGGCAGGGGCGUAUUCUCGCUGCUCAACCAGCUUUGUAAGCGUACACUGCAACCAGUUAGACGAUCAUGCCAUGGGCUGAGUGGUUCAGCGUGAGCAAUCACGCCGUUCCACGCACAACUUGUUCGCUCGCGGUAGUAGUAGCGCGGUUGCGUUUCGGCGCUUCUCGUGUUGCUGGCCGCGUGGCGAGUGAACUAUGGCUGAAUACUGACUGGCGAAAUGAAAAGCGUUUUAUGUGACGUUAGAGAAAAGGCGGUUAACCGCACGCGCGUCUACACGCUCGACUGUUGAGUCUAAGCUUGGCGUCUUUGAAUUCAGGCUUGCUCGCUACCAAUGGGGCAACUCUUGGUGCUUGUAUUGUCUCUGUCUAAUCGGGCGUCGACUUGGCGCGGCAUUGUUCGCGGCGUGAACUGAUAGGGCGUGUGUGCGAGCUAGCUCGCAAUUUGAAUUGGCAGUGAGUAGGUCGGCUUUCCGAACGACCCGUCUUGAAACACGGACCAAGGAGUCUAAUUAGGCAUCGAGUCGAUCGGUCUUGAUAGGCCAGAAGGGUGUGCUUCGGUACACCGAUUGAAGGCGUAGAGAAAUCAAAUCGUGUGAUCGUUUUGGCAACAACAGCCACUACGCGCAACAUGUGCCUGUUCGUAUGGCAACUUGUUAGCAAUAACUUGCCGGGCGGAGUAAAGAGAUGCUUGAUUGGGACCCGAAAGAUGGUGAACUAUGCUUGGGCAAAUUGAAGCCAGAGGAAACUCUGGUGGAGGAUUGUAGCGAUUCUGACGUGCAAAUCGAUCGUCAGACCUGAGUAUAGGGGCGAAAGACUAAUCGAACCAUC